ensembl:lncRNA
UUGUGAAAUGGCUUGUAAUGGCUUAUCAGACCUUGUAGUAAAAUAGGGAUCUUUAAAGAAAAAACAUAGCAUCGUCAGUAUAUUUUAACUAAUCUGACAUACAAAGGCUAACUCUAAAGUAUGUCACGCGGGAUUAGAGGAACUGAUCGUAGCGAACCAUAGCCUGGGCCUCUUUCCUCAUGCAGCCAGAGCAGGGCUCCCCGUAACGCUGCAAUCGAUCUCAGGAAAACUACAAAGAGUUCCCACCAACUUAAAAUCGAGCCCGUCACCUCGACCAAUCAGAGCAUCGUCAGCCGGGGUCACGACCACAACAAAGAACCGUGGAGUGAUUCAACAGCCGAGCUCAGAGGGAACAACACGGUUAGUUCCGUGACGGGUCGCCUCCCCUCGUCGAAGGCCAACGCUGGAGCGAAAGAUCUCUCUCGUGAAUGGCAUUCAGCACAUCCAAUCCGAAGGCUUCCACUCAAAUCCAACACGUUACAGAGACCAGGAAGCCCCUGAGAUGUGGCCAGACGGCGAGGCGCGUUGGACGCCGCCUGGAGGUCAUCACAGCCCGGGCCGACGGUACUCCCCUGAUGUCCCUCCUCUCCUCCCCCUCUCCUCCCCCUCUCCUCCUCCCGCUCGGGGGAGAGGGAGGUGCGGGCGUCCUCUGUGCUGGGGGGGGGACACGCCGAGCGGACCCCUGAACCCGUAUAGAAAUAAAUAACAAUGCAAAUAAAAGAAAUGACUGAGAGGAGACGGGGAGUCGUCCUUCACCGG